CGGGCCAGUGACGAUGACUGUGGCGUAUGAGACACCGACAAUGAAUACACGUGUCGGGAACUCUGAGGACCCA